GACGAACGCUGGCGGCGUGCCUAAUACAUGCGAGUCGAACGAGAGCGACCGGUGCUUGCACUGGUCAAUCUAGUGGCGAACGGGUGAGUAACACGUGGGUAACCUGCCCAUCAGAGGGGGAUAACAUCCGGAAACGGAUGCUAAAACCGCAUAGGUCUUCGAGCCGCAUGGCUUGAAGAGGAAAAGAGGCGCAAGCUUCUGCUGAUGGAUGGACCCGCGGUGCAUUAGCUAGUUGGUGAGGUAACGGCUCACCAAGGCCGUGAUGCAUAGCCGACCUGAGAGGGUGCUCGGCCACAUUGGGACUGAGACACGGCCCAAACUCCUACGGGAGGCAGCAGUAGGGAAUCUUCCGCAAUGGACGCAAGUCUGACGGAGCAACGCCGCGUGAGUGAAGAAGGUUUUCGGAUCGUAAAACUCUGUUGUUAGAGAAGAACAAGUGCUAGAGUAACUGUUAGCGCCUUGACGGUAUCUAACCAGAAAGCCACGGCUAACUACGUG
rnacentral:rRNA from 1 species